UACGAAGGGGGCUAGCGUUGUUCGGAAUUACUGGGCGUAAAGGGCGCGCAGGCGGCCCUCCAAGUCAGGCGUGAAAGCCCCGGGCUCAACCCGGGAACAGCGCUUGAGACUGGGGGGCUUGAGUUCGGGAGAGGAGAGUGGAAUUCCCAGUGUAGAGGUGAAAUUCGUAGAUAUUCGCAAGAACACCAGUGGCGAAGGCGGCUCACUGGCCCGAUACUGACGCUGAGGCACGAAAGCGUGGGGAGCAAACAGG
rnacentral:rRNA from 1 species